GGAUCGAUGAUGGACACCCUCACAUGCAUUCCUUGGAAAUCUGAACAAAAUGAGUGAGAACUCACUACCGUCUCCUCAUCGAAACUGAGGUCC
rnacentral:snoRNA from 1 species